GGUUAUGUAGCUCAGGUGGUAGAGUGCCUGCCUCACAUGCACAAGGUCCUGGGUUCAAUCCCCAGCACCA
rnacentral:tRNA from 1 species